UAGGGAAUCUUCGGCAAUGGACGGAAGUCUGACCGAGCAACGCCGCGUGAGUGAAGAAGGUUCUCGGAUCGUAAAGCUCUGUUGUUAGAGAAGAACGUUGGUAGGAGUGGAAAAUCUACCAAGUGACGGUAACUAACCAGAAAGGGACGGCUAACUACGUGCCAGCAGCCGCGGUAAUACGUAGGUCCCGAGCGUUGUCCGGAUUUAUUGGGCGUAAAGCGAGCGCAGGCGGUUCUUUAAGUCUGAAGUUAAAGGCAGUGGCUUAACCAUUGUACGUUUUGGAAACUGGAGGACUUGAGUGCAGAAGGGGAGAGUGGAAUUCCAUGUGUAGCGGUGAAGUGCGUAGAUAUAUGGAGGAACACCGGUGGCGAAAGCGGCUCUCUGAUCUGUAACUGACGCAGAGGCUCGAAAGCGUGGGGAGCAAACAGG
rnacentral:rRNA from 1 species